UACGUAGGGUGCAAGCGUUGUCUGGAAUUAUUGGGCGUAAAGAGCUCGUAGGCGGUUUGUCGCGUCUGCUGUGAAAACUCGGGGCUUAACUCCGGGCCUGCAGUGGGUACGGGCAGACUAGAGUGCGGUAGGGGAGACUGGAAUUCCUGGUGUAGCGGUGAAAUGCGCAGAUAUCAGGAGGAACACCGGUGGCGAAGGCGGGUCUCUGGGCCGUAACUGACGCUGAGGAGCGAAAGCGUGGGGAGCGAACAGG
rnacentral:rRNA from 1 species